UAGUAUAAGCACUAUACUGUGAAACUGCGAAUGGCUCAUUAAAUCAGUUAUCGUUUAUUUGAUAGUACUCUGUUACAUGGAUAACCGUGGUAAUUCUAGGGCUAAUACAUGCUAAAAACCCCGACUUCGGGAGGGGUGUAUUUAUUAGAUAAAAAACCAAUGCCUUCGGGCCCCCUGGUGAUUCAUAAUAACUAAACGAAUCGCAUGGCCUUGCGCCGGCGAUGGUUCAUUCAAAUUUCUGCCCUAUCAACUUUCGAUUGUACUGUAGUGGAGUACAAUGGUUUCAACGGGUAACGGGGAAUUAGGGUUCGAUUCCGGAGAGGGAGCCUGAGAAACGGCUACCACAUCCAAGGAAGGCAGCAGGCGCGCAAAUUACCCAAUCCCGAUUCGGGGAGGUAGUGACAAUAAAUACUGAUACAGGGCUCUUUUGGGUCUUGUAAUUGGAAUGAGUACAAUUUAAAUCCCUUAACGAGGAACAAUUGGAGGGCAAGUCUGGUGCCAGCAGCCGCGGUAAUUCCAGCUCCAAUAGCGUAUAUUAAAGUUGUUGCAGUUAAAAAGCUCGUAGUUGAACCUUGGAGUGGGUUGACCGGUCCGCCUCACCGCGUGCACUGGCUCGGCCUGCUCUUUCCUUCUGGGGAUCCUCAUGCCCUUCACUGGGCGUGCUGGGGAACCAGGACUUUUACUGUGAAAAAAUUAGAGUGUUCAAAGCAGGCCUUUGCUCGAAUACAUUAGCAUGGAAUAAUGGAAUAGGACGUGCGUCCCUAUUUUGUUGGUUUCUAGGGACGCCGUAAUGAUUAAUAGGGAUAGUCGGGGGCAUCAGUAUUCAAUUGUCAGAGGUGAAAUUCUUGGAUUUAUUGAAGACUAACUACUGCGAAAGCAUUUGCCAAGGAUGUUUUCAUUAAUCAGUGAACGAAAGUUAGGGGAUCGAAGACGAUCAGAUACCGUCGUAGUCUUAACCGUAAACUAUGCCGACUAGGGAUCGGACGAUGUUUUUAUUUUGACUCGUUCGGCACCUUACGAGAAAUCAAAGUUUUUGGGUCUGGGGG
rnacentral:rRNA from 1 species